AGCAGUCGCCGCGGGAAUACGGAGGGUGCAAGCGUUAAUCGGAAUUACUGGGCGUAAAGCGCACGCAGGCGGUCUGUCAAGUCAGAUGUGAAAUCCCCGGGCUUAACCUGGGAACUGCAUUUGAAACUGGCAGGCUAGAGUCUUGUAGAGGGGGGUAGAAUUCCAGGUGUAGCGGUGAAAUGCGUAGAGAUCUGGAGGAAUACCGGUGGCGAAGGCGGCCCCCUGGACAAAGACUGACGCUCAGGUGCGAAAGCGUGGGGAGCAAACAGGAUUAGAUACCCGCGUAGUCCCUGUCUCUUAUAC
rnacentral:rRNA from 1 species